UACGGAGGGUGCAAGCGUUGUUCGGAAUCACUGGGCGUAAAGGGCGUGUAGGCGGUCCGCUAAGUCUGAUGUGAAAGCCCGGGGCUCACCCCCGGAAGGGCAUUGGAAACUGGCGGACUCGAGUCUCGGAGAGGAAGGUGGAAUUCCGUGGUGUAGCGGUGAAAUGCGUAGAUAUCAGGAGGAAUACCGGUGGCGAAGGCGGCCUUCUGGACGAUGACUGACGCUGAGACGCGAAAGCGUGGGGAGCAAACAGG
rnacentral:rRNA from 1 species